CUGAUCCAGCCUGCCGCGUGAGUGAUGAAGGCUUCGGGUUGUAAAGCUCUUUCGCACGCGACGAUGAUGACGGUAGCGUGAGAAGAAGCCCCGGCUAACUUCGUGCCAGCAGCCGCGGUAAUACGAAGGGGGCUAGCGUUGUUCGGAAUUACUGGGCGUAAAGGGCGCGUAGGCGGCGCUUCAAGUCAGAUGUGAAAGCCCCGGGCUCAACCUGGGAAUAGCAUUUGAGACUGUGAGGCUUGAGUUCCGGAGAGGUGGGUGGAAUUCCCAGUGUAGAGGUGAAAUUCGUAGAUAUUGGGAAGAACACCGGUGGCGAAGGCGGCCCACUGGACGGAUACUGACGCUGAGGCGCGAAAGCGUGGGGAGCAAACAGGAUUAGAUACCCUGGUAGUCCACGCCGUAAACGAUGUCGGCUAGACGUUGGGGCUCUUAGAGCUUCGGUGUCGCAGCUAACGCAUUAAGCCGACCGCCUGGGGAGUACGGCCGCAAGGUUGAAACUCAAAGGAUUUG
rnacentral:rRNA from 1 species